CUUACCAUGCAGUCGAACGGCAGCACGGGAGCAAUCCUGGUGGCGAGUGGCGAACGGGUGAGUAAUACAUCGGAACGUGUCCUGGAGUGGGGGAUAGCCCGGCGAAAGCCGGAUUAAUACCGCAUACGCUCUAUGGAGGAAAGCGGGGGAUCUUUCGGGACCUCGCGCUCAAGGGGCGGCCGAUGGCAGAUUAGCUAGUUGGUGGGGUAAAGGCCUACCAAGGCGACGAUCUGUAGCUGGUCUGAGAGGACGACCAGCCACACUGGGACUGAGACACGGCCCAGACUCCUACGGGAGGCAGCAGUGGGGAAUUUUGGACAAUGGGCGCAAGCCUGAUCCAGCAAUGCCGCGUGUGUGAAGAAGGCCUUCGGGUUGUAAAGCACUUUUGUCCGGAAAGAAAACCUCUGGGUUAAUACCCCGGGGGGAUGACGGUACCGGAAGAAUAAGCACCGGCUAACUACGUGCCAGCAGCCGCGGUAAUACGUAGGGUGCGAGCGUUAAUCGGAAUUACUGGGCGUAAAGCGUGCGCAGGCGGUUCGUUAAGACAGAUGUGAAAUCCCCGGGCUUAACCUGGGAACUGCAUUUGUGACUGGCGGGCUAGAGUAUGGCAGAGGGGGGUAGAAUUCCACGUGUAGCAGUGAAAUGCGUAGAGAUGUGGAGGAAUACCGAUGGCGAAGGCAGCCCCCUGGGCCAAUACUGACGCUCAUGCACGAAAGCGUGGGGAGCAAACAGGAUUAGAUACCCUGGUAGUCCACGCCCUAAACGAUGUCAACUAGUUGUUGGGGAUUCAUUUCCUUAGUAACGUAGCUAACGCGUGAAGUUGACCGCCUGGGGAGUACGGUCGCAAGAUUAAAACUCAGGGA
rnacentral:rRNA from 2 species